GGGGAAUAUUGCACAAUGGGGGAAACCCUGAUGCAGCAACGCCGCGUGAGUGAUGACGGCCUUCGGGUUGUAAAACUCUGUCUUCAGGGACGAUAAUGACGGUACCUAAGGAGGAAGCCACGGCUAACUACGUGCCAGCAGCCGCGGUAAUACGUAGGUGGCAAGCGUUGUCCGGAUUUACUGGGCGUAAAGGGAGCGUAGGUGGAUAUUUAAGUGGGAUGUGAAAUACCCGGGCGUAACCUGGGUGCUGCAUUCCAAACUGGAUAUCUAGAGUGCAGGAGAGGAAAGGAGAAUUCCUAGUGUAGCGGUGAAAUGCGUAGAGAUUAGGAAGAAUACCAGUGGCGAAGGCGCCUUUCUGGACUGUAACUGACACUGAGGCUCGAAAGCGUGGGGAGCAAAC
rnacentral:rRNA from 1 species